rnacentral:rRNA from 1 species
CGAGUCUGCCUUGAAGAUCGGAGUGCUUGCACUCUGUGAAACAAGAUACAGGCUAGCGGCGGACGGGUGAGUAACACGUGGGUAACCUGCCCAAGAGAUCGGAAUAACACCUGGAAACAGAUGCUAAUACCGGAUAACAACAGAUGAUGCCUAUCAACUGUUUAAAAGAUGGUUCUGCUAUCACUCUUGGAUGGACCUGCGGUGCAUUAGCUAGUUGGUAGGGUAACGGCCUACCAAGGCGAUGAUGCAUAGCCGAGUUGAGAGACUGAUCGGCCACAUUGGGACUGAGACACGGCCCAAACUCCUACGGGAGGCAGCAGUAGGGAAUCUUCCACAAUGGACGCAAGUCUGAUGGAGCAACGCCGCGUGAGCGAAGAAGGGUUUCGGCUCGUAAAGCUCUGUUGUUGGUGAA